CCGGGAGCCACUGGAAAUUCUGGGAAGUCACCUGAGGUCCCCCUUGGCCAGGUAUCUACUUGCCUGGAACAUUCUGUCAAAAGAGGAUUCAGGAGGUGCGAGAAGGCCCACUGGAGGUGCUUUGCUGGAGGAGCACAUGGAUGUGCAGAACAGAAAGCUGGGGAGCUUUGCCUCUGCACCGUGGGCAGACAGCUCUGUGGACUUCAGGGAAACUUUCUCAGCUUUGAACUGCUAAGAACUCGGCGGCCACAAGAUGGCGGCAAAGAACAGUUCUCCCAGCCAAGCUAGCCCCGGGCCCUGGGUGCUGAGACCCGGAUGGACCGUCCAGGCUGGGGGACUCAUUGGCUCCAGCAAGAACCCAUGAAUAUACAAAUCCAAGAAACCCUUCUGCA